UCCAGACUCCUACGGGAGGCAGCAGUGGGGGAUAUUGCACAAUGGGGGGAACCCUGAUGCAGCGACGCCGCGUGGGUGAAGGAGCGUUUCGGCGCGUAAAGCCCUCUCGGCAGGGAAGAAGGAGGACGGUACCUGACUAAGAAGCCCCGGCUAACUACGUGCCAGCAGCCGCGGUAAUACGUAGGGGGCAAGCGUUAUCCGGAUUUACUGGGUGUAAAGGGGGCGCAGACGGCAGCGCAAGCCAGGAGUGAAAGCCCGGGGCCCAACCCCGGGACUGCUCUUGGAACUGCGCGGCUGGAGUGCAGGAGGGGCAGGCGGAAUUCCUGGUGUAGCGGUGAAAUGCGUAGAUAUCAGGAGGAACACCGGUGGCGAAGGCGGCCUGCUGGACUGCGACUGACGUUGAGGCCCGAAAGCGUGGGGAGCAAACAGGAUUAGAUACCCGUGUAA
rnacentral:rRNA from 1 species